CGAGUCCUACUUAUUUUAGCAUGAUCUCCAAUAAUAACUCUUUCGCGUGGCAACACUCCCUUUCGUAUCUCAUAACACUGGCUCAAUUGAGUUUGAUGCUCUUCUGAUCUUCCUUAUCACCUUUAUUGCUUUUCUUCUUUUCGAUAUUUAUAUUCUUCUUCCCAUGGAUUCUUCUGGACCCUUUGCCUUCUCCACAGUUUCUUGCAAGCUUUUCUAGUUAGAUACCUAGAAUGCCAAGGGCAAAGGCAAAUGCAUCAUCAGCUACUAAGCCAGUUGAGCCGGAAAAGCCAGUUGAAUCCGAUGAGAGGGUUGACCUUGAAGAAGAGAAUGAUCCUGAGGAGGAAAUGGAUGAAGAGGUUGAGUAUGAGGAAGUAGAAGAAGAGGAGGAAGUGGAAGAGAUAGAGGAAGAGGCAGAAGAAGAAGAGGUGGAAGUGGAAGAAGAAGAAGUGGAGGAGGAGGAGGAGUUGGAGGAGGAGGAUAAUAAUGAUAAUGCCAAUGCAACUAAUGCCCAUAAAACGCUCGAUGGAAAUGAUACAAUGGUUGUGGAUGAGGACGAGAAGAAAAAACAUGAUGAACUUCUUGCCCUUCCUCCUCAUGGUUCUGAAGUGUACAUCGGCGGUAUACCUCAUGAUGCUUCAGAGGAGGAUCUGAGAACUUUCUGCGAGUCCAUUGGAGAAGUUACUGAGGUCCGGAUUAUGAAAGCCAAAGAUUCAGCUGAAAACAAGGAUUUGCCUUUGUUACUUUUAGAAAUGUGGAAUUGGCAUCCAAAGCCAUUGAGGAGCUGAAUGAGUCUGAUUUUAAGGGUAAGAAAAUAAAAUGUUCAACGUCGCAAGCAAAGCAUCGAUUAUUUAUUGGUAAUGUUCCUAGGAGCUGGGGAGAUGAAGAUCUGAGGAAAGUUGUCACACAGAUUGGACCUGGCGUGACUGGUAUAGAGUUGGUGAAGGAUUUGAAGAAUACUAGCAAUAAUCGUGGCUUUGCUUUUAUUGAUUAUCACAACCAUGCGUGUGCUGAAUAUUCUAGACAGAAGAUGAUGAAUCCAAAGUUUAAGCUGGACAAAAAUGCUCCUACUGUUAGCUGGGCUGAUCCUAAAAAUUCUGAUUCUUCUGCUUCUUCUCAGGUGAAGGCAGUAUAUGUGAAGAACCUUCCCAGGAAUGUGACACAAGAUCAAUUAAAGAAGCUAUUUGAGCACCAUGGAAAGAUAACCAAAGUAGUUCUGCCACCAGCAAAAGUUGGGCAAGAGAAAAAUAGGAUUGGCUUUGUACACUUUGGGGAGAGGUCAAGUGCCAUGAAAGCACUGAAGAACACAGAAAAAUAUGAACUUGAUGGACAAGUCCUGGAGUGUUCUCUUGCAAAGCCACAAGUAGAUCAGAAGUCUGUAGCAGGACCAUCUUCUCAGAAGACAGGCCUUCUUCCAAGUUAUCCACUCCGUGUUGGUUAUGGUCUACCUGGGGGUGCAUAUGGUUCUCUAGGAGGAGGCUUUGGUGCAGCAGGCUUUGCACAACCUAUGAUAUAUGGAAGAGGACCAAGCCCUGCUGGUAUGGCAAUGAUGCCAAUGUUUUUGCCUGAUGGAAGGAUUGGAUAUGUCUUGCAGCAGCCUGGAGCACAGCCUCUUACUCCACCUUCACAUCAAAGAAAUAGCAACAGGCCUGUUGGUGGGAGUGGCAACAAGAGUGGUGGCAGUUCAAGCCGGGGAAAACAUAAUAAUGAUAGUGGCCAAGGGCGAAGGUACCGCCCUUACUAGCGCUGGAGGGAGUUUUAUUAGUGUUAGAUACCUUGAAAGUUGUUUGUUUAUUAAUUUGUAUCACCCAUUUUCAUGUUUCUCUAUUUUUCUGGGCGCUUUUUCCUGUGACCCUUCUGUUUUCCUGAAGGUGAUCAUAUCCAUUCCUAUAUAUUUACUCUGCUGAUCAAGUUGCUGCAUUAAUAUUAUGGGUUUUUAGGUACUCCUUGAAAUGCGAAA